GGUCUUGUAGUCAAAGAUGAUUUCAAAUUGCAAAUUUGAAGGUGGGAGUAUUCCUCAAGGCUU
rnacentral:tRNA from 1 species